rnacentral:rRNA from 1 species
CCUACGGGAGGCAGCAGUGAGGAAUAUUGGUCAAUGGACGUAAGUCUGAACCAGCCAAGCCGCGUGAGGGAUGAAGGUUCUAUGGAUCGUAAACUUCUUUUAUAAGGGAAUAAAGUUCGGGACGUGUCCUGUUCUGUAUGUACCUUACGAAUAAGGAUCGGCUAACUCCGUGCCAGCAGCCGCGGUAAUACGGAGGAUCCGAGCGUUAUCCGGAUUUAUUGGGUUUAAAGGGUGCGUAGGCGGCCUGUUAAGUCAGCGGUGAAAGUUCGUGGCUUAACCAUGGAAUUGCCGUUGAAACUGUGGGGCUUGAGUGUGUUUGAGGCAGGCGGAAUGCGUGGUGUAGCGGUGAAAUGCUUAGAGAUCACGCAGAACCCCGAUUGCGAAGGCAGCCUGCCAAGCCAUAACUGACGCUGAGGCACGAAAGCGUGGGGAUCAAACAGGAUUAGAUACCCGAGUAGUC